UACGUAGGGUGCGAGCGUUAAUCGGAAUUACUGGGCGUAAAGGGCGCGUAGGCGGCCUUCUAAGUCAGACGUGAAAUCCCCCGGCUUAACCUGGGAACUGCGUCUGAUACUGGAGGGCUUGAGUGCGGGAGAGGGAUGUGGAAUUCCAGGUGUAGCGGUGAAAUGCGUAGAUAUCUGGAGGAACACCGGUGGCGAAGGCGGCAUCCUGGACCGACACUGACGCUGAGGCGCGAAAGCUAGGGUAGCAAACGGG
rnacentral:rRNA from 1 species